rnacentral:rRNA from 1 species
UACAGAGGGGGCAAGCGUUGUCCGGAUUUAUUGGGCGUAAAGAGCGUGUAGGCGGCCAUGUAGGUCCGUUGUGAAAACUCGAGGUUCAACCUCGAGACGCCGAUGGAAACCAUGUGGCUAGAGUCCGGAAGAGGAGAGUGGAAUUCCUGGUGUAGCGGUGAAAUGCGCAGAUAUCAGGAAGAACACCCGUGGCUAAGGCGGCUCUCUAGUACGGUACUGACGCUGAGACGCGAAAGCGUGGGGAGCGAACAGG